rnacentral:tRNA from 1 species
GAGGGUAUAGCUCAGUGGUAGAGCACAUGCUUAGCAUGCACAAGGUUCUAGGUUCAAUCCCCAGUACCUCCA